UAUUUCUUCCUCUCCUCCACAGUGCCCCGUCAUCCGCAAACAGUGACCUCCCAAUAGCAGGUCUCACCUGGGAGAAUACACUGGCAAUCAUAAUGGAGAACAACAAAGGAUUUCCAGAAAUGAACAUAGAGUACCAGUCAAAGCUAAGUCUCCUUCUGUUCCCGAUUAAGAGGUGAUGGCUACUCCACUCCACUGCCACUCUCUACUGGCAUGAACUGAAGCCACGUCUCUUGUGCCCGCUCAUCCACUGUCAUAUCCUGUCCUCCGCUGGUCAAGCCUCUAAACAGUUCAACUCAUGCCUCAUACCCUCAUUCAAUCACUGCUGUGAUCCCUUUCCAUCACUGUCCUCAGGGAUGAUCCGGAGGGCGAGGCGCAGGGCGGUCUGGACGGAGACUGUGGAACUCCCGCAGCAUUGAAGGGUCCAACACAUCCUCGAACGGAACCCAGCACCUCUCCUCCGGACCAUACCCACUCCACGAGGUACUGAAGGCCCCUCGCCCGACGCCUCGAAUCCAGAAUGGAGCGAACGGAGAACGCAGGGGCCCCCUCGAUGUCCAGAGGGGGCGGAGGAACCUCCCGCACAUCAGACUCCUGAAGCAGGCCAGCCACCACCGGCCUGAGGACAGACACAUGGAACUAGGGGUUAAUAGGGUAAUCGGUUGGAAGCUGUAACCUGUAACAAACCUCGUUCACUCUCCUCAGGACUUUAAAUGGCCCCACAAACUGCGGGUCCAGCUUCCGGCAGGGCAGGCGGAGGGGCAGGUUUCGGGUCGAGAGCCAGACCCAGUCCGGGGCCUCACUGUGGUGAUGGUCUGCGCUGUCUUUUUGGCGCAGCACGGCCCGCUGAAGGUGAACACAAGCAGCUUCCCAUGUUUCCUCCAUGCGCCUGAAACAGUUGUCCACCGCAGGAGCCUCGAUCUGGCUCUGAUGCCAAGGUGCCAGAACAGGCUGAUACCCCAGUACACACUUGAAGGGGGAGAGGUUAGUGGAGGAGUGGUGGAGCGAGUUCUGUGCCAUCGGCCCAGGGCACGAACGCCGCCCACUCCCCCGGCCGGUCCUGGCAAUAAGACCGCAGAAACCUGCCCACAUCCUGGUUUUCUCUCUCCACCUGUCCAUUAUUCUCGGGGUGAAACUGAUCGAUGGGUGAGGGGUGUAGCUUCCCUCUAGGCAGGUGCCUAGGAGCCUUACACUGGGCGCACACCGAGCAGGAGGAAACAAAACCCUCACAUCCUUAGCCAAGGUAGGCCACCAGGACCUCCCGCUCAAACAGCGCACUGUCUGACCAAUACCAGGAUGACCAGAGGAGGGUGACGUGUGGGCCCAAUAGAACAACCGGUCACGGACAGCAGACGGGACGUAAAGACGCCCAGCAGGACACUGGAUGGGAGCGGGCUCUGCACGCAACGCCUGCUCAUUGUCCGGGUCCAGCUCCCACACCACCAGUGCUACCAGGCAGGAGGCUGGAAGUAUGGGUGUAUGAUCCAUGGGCCGCUCGUCUGUGUCAUACAGCCGGGACAGUGCGUCUGCCUUCACGUUCUGGGAGCCUGGUCUGUAGGACAGGGUGAAAACAAAAUGGGUGAAAUACAUGGCCCACCUUGCCUGACGAGGGUUCAGUCUCCUCACUGCCCGGAUGUACUCCAGAUUUUGGUGGUCAGUCCAGGUGAGAAAAUGGUGUUUAGCCCCCUCAAACUAAUGUCUCCACGCCUUCAAGGCCUUUACGACAGCCAACAGCUCCCGGUCCCCCACGUCAUAGUUUCACUCCGCCGGGC
ensembl:lncRNA